UGAUCAAAGACUUUCUAAACUCAGUCUCAUAAAUCGCAUAGGACUUCUCCUUUUCUAUCAAGAUCGAUAGAUUUCAUCUAGAUACAUCAUACUCCAAACAGCAAAAUUGAAUCUACUGAAGCCAACAUACACAGCAAGGAUCUGAAUGGUUAGAGACCAAGGAAACGUGUAGUCAAACCCAAUAGUCACUGUAAAUAACCAAUGGCACCGCAUGUCAAAGGACCACUCAU
rnacentral:lncRNA from 1 species